GAUGAACGCUGGCGGCGUGCUUAACACAUGCAAGUCGAACGGUGAAGGCGGAGCUUGCUCUGCUGGAUCAGUGGCGAACGGGUGAGUAACACGUGAGCAAUCUGCCCCUGACUCUGGGAUAAGCGCUGGAAACGGCGUCUAAUACUGGAUACGAGCUGCGAAGGCAUCUUCAGCAGCUGGAAAGAACUUCGGUCAGGGAUGAGCUCGCGGCCUAUCAGCUUGUUGGUGAGGUAACGGCUCACCAAGGCGUCGACGGGUAGCCGGCCUGAGAGGGUGACCGGCCACACUGGGACUGAGACACGGCCCAGACUCCUACGGGAGGCAGAAGUGGGGAAUAUUGCAACAUGGGCGAAAGCCUGAUGCAGCAACGCCGCGUGAGGGACGACGGCCUUCGGGUUGUAAACCUCUUUUAGCAGGGAAGAAGCGAAAGGGACGGUACCUGCAGAAAAAGCGCCGGCUAACUAAGGG
rnacentral:rRNA from 1 species